GCCUAAUAAACCAUUUAACACCAAUUCUAACCAGCAGCAAAACUAUGAACAGAUCAUUAGAUACAGCUUCAGCAACAUGCAAAUUAGUCAUCAAUAACCCUUCAAAGUAUGCGAACUCAGCUAGUGCAUCAAUAACCGACCCACUGAUGGGGAUCUUAUCUCUAUUACAAACAAAUUUAAGUCUGACAUUCACAAGAAGCAAAUUGACACAUCCUAGCAUACACUAGCUAUGGAAGCAAGCAAAACCAUUACCCCAUCCAAAUGUGAUGCAUAAAUUCUAAAUAUUCACUCCUAUUUGAAUGAAGAAAUUCAUAAGUAGCGGUAACUCUAUUAAAGCCUGAAGCCCUGAACCAUUUCAACACAUCACUAGUAUUAAACAAUGCAUCAUAGUAGACAAGCAUAGACCCUUUGCAUGUUGCUUAGCCCGUUUUCAAUAAAAUAACUUGCCAAUAAACAUUAUAAAAGCCAUUAGCUUCAUUCCAAAAUCUAACAACACUACAGCUAAAGACUCUCCGGUGCUCUAAACAUUUGAAAUGACAAAUGAUCUAUUCCAGGUUGCCACAUCUUGUCAUAAGAGACAGCUGACAGCUCAAGUCAACAUACCGCAAGAUGUUCACCACACAAAAUUGAUUAGCGACCAGGAACUCGAAUGAUUGAGAAAUUUAUAACUUGUAAUGCCAAUAAUCUGCAAACAAGAUUGACAGUGGUGACACCGCCUAGCUGAAAAAUAGCCUCUCUCAGGUUAACUUCACAAUUUCAACUGUUACGCCCUCUUCAAAUUCCAGUCCACGCUGAAAAACCCCCCUCACUGAACACACACCCACUAUGAAGCUCGGGCCAUGAGUGGACACGUGACUCCACCUUAGAACUCGAGCAUCUCCUCCUGUACAACACAAGGGCAAAUACAGGGGGAAAAUGAUUAUGACAUCUUCAAAGUGUCAACUACCACUAUGAUUAUCGCUAUCCAUUUACGAAGAGAUCAACCCAAGUGGCUCAUAGCUCCACAGCUAUCAGUAAAAAACCUCUGCAUGCCUACUUUCACACCAAAUCAAGCAUAUCUAAUUCUAGAUUUCCCUUGUAAUCUUAUUCCUAGUCAGAAACAACAAAAAAAAGUGAAUGAUGGUAAGAUGUCAACAACAAAAUACCCAACUGCAAUCAAACCAACACACAAAAUUUAAAAGUGCAAUAGAUUAAACACUACGAUAGGGAAUGAAAGUUUCCAGUAAGCUAGCAGACAAUUAUAAGCACGCCAAACUUAGACCACACUCAGCAAGCAAAAAUAUUAAAAAAGAAGGGCAUCUAGUAUGCCCUGAACUAGUUAUCAUAGACUAGCAAAAUAGAUAGUGCAAACUACUGGGAUUUAAGCAAUCCAACCAGUCCCAAUGAGCAUCAGCAUCCAAUUUGAGCCACUCCCCCUGCCGCUGGGAACAAGAAAUCUUUGGAGGACCUCAUGCGAAGUACGGAAAGUACCCAUAAAACACUGAUGAAGAUCCAGUUGGCAUCAAUGUGUUCAUGAUCACUGUUGUUGGCCUUGCCGACUCUGAGCACCACCAUACCCCCCGCCAUAACCAACUUGCCCACCAUGAGGUCCAUUUGCCUGAGGAGUCCCAUAAUUUCCGGAAGCUUGUGAUGGCUCAGAUCUCCAACCUGCAUUUCCAUAUCCUGGAUUUCCAUUUGCAUCACCAUAGCCACUUCCCAUGUAGCCACUGCCACUCCCCUGAAGUUCACCUGCACCUCCAAAAUUACUGUUUGGAGUACCCCCAGAACGCCCCCCAACAGCUCCAUAUCCAGCUGGAUUCCCAUAAGAUCCAUCAUUUCCACCAUAACUUCCAUAUCCAUAACCUUGAUUCCCAUAGCCAGCAGUUCCACUAGGAGAUUGACCAGUAGGUGUUGAACUGGGACCACCACUACCAGCACCAAUAUUUGGUGCACCCCAUGAAGCAGCAUUUCCAUAGCCCAUGGCACCGUAGCCAGAUGGAGCUUGACUGCUCCAUGAGCUUCUAGGGGCACCAGGUGGACCACUUGCAUACCCAGCAUUUGGGACAUUGGGAUUUCCAUAUGCAGCACCAGCACCAGCACCACCAUAACUACCAUAACCACCAUAGCCAACACCAUUAUUGGCAGGGCCAUAUCCAUAACCAGGUGCAUUAUAGCCAGAGGAACCAUAAGGAGGAAAGCCACCUCCCGUGCUCUGAGGCUGCAUAUACCUAUUUGAAUCCAUUCGACCAUCAUAUGAAUUUGUGUUGCCCCCAGAAGCACUAUAGCCCUGAUAACCACCACCACCACCACCGCCGCCGCCG
rnacentral:misc_RNA from 1 species